rnacentral:tRNA from 1 species
GAAGUGGUGGCUCACUGGUAGAAUUCUCACCUUUCAUGUGGGAGACUUGGGUUCGAUUCCCGGCCAAUGCA